CUGCAUUUGUCUGGCAUAAAUUUGCCUCUGUAGUCACAUUCUUGAACACACUUUUCAUGUAUAGAACUUUUCCUGGGCCAGUAUCUUCCAAUUUCUUCUCCAUUCAACCAAGCUAGACCUUUCCCCAUAUGAAGCAUGUCCAGCCCAAUAGGUUCAUCUCCUGCUGGUGGAUCUAAAGCAACCUUAUACCAUGUUAAUGGCUGAUUCUUUGGUGGUUUUGAGGUUGCAACCCAAUUUACAUUAUCCACAGCAUCAGCCUUGUAUAUACCAAGCUUUUCUC
rnacentral:misc_RNA from 1 species